AUGCAGGUCGCCCUGCCAAUCGUGCCUUGCCCGGAUUCCGGCAGGAACGUCGUGACCUAUGUAGCUCGUCGCGGCCAGAACGCUAUUGAGCGUUUCCACAAGUGCCGCCGUCACAACCCAGCACGUGGUGGAUGCGACUUCUGUAGGUGGCAGCAAUCUCACGCCGAGUCGCUUGCUGCAGCAGCACCUCCGAUGGCGCAAAUCGUGCCUGCGCAGGAGCAAGCCGGCCUAGCGUACAAUGCUGCGGACGUCCACAGGGGGCGAAUGCGGCUGCGACCGGCCAUGGCUUCGCCGGAGUCCACCGCCGGCGAUGGAAGCUAG
rnacentral:rRNA from 1 species